rnacentral:rRNA from 1 species
UACAGAGGCCUCGAGCGUUAGGCGGAAUCACUGGGCUUAAAGCGUGUGUAGGCGGACUUCUAAGUACCUUGUGAAAUCCCACGGCUUACCCGUGGAACGGCUGGGUAUACUGGUUGUCUUGAGCCACUUAGGGGCUACCGGAACAAAUGGUGGAGCGGUGAAAUGCGCAGAUAUCGGGAAGAACACCCGUGGCGAAGGCGGCUCUCUGGGACGGUACUGACGCUGAGACGCGAAAGCGUGGGGAGCGAACAGG